AACGGGAGGCUGCAGUAGGGAAUCUUCCACAAUGGGCGCAAGCCUGAUGGAGCAACGCCGCGUGUGUGAUGAAGGCUUUCGGGUCGUAAAGCACUGUUGUAUGGGAAGAACGGGUUUAAGAGGAAAUGCUUAAACAGUGACGGUACCAUACCAGAAAGGGACGGCUAAAUACGUGCCAGCAGCCGCGGUAAUACGUAUGUCCCGAGCGUUAUCCGGAUUUAUUGGGCGUAAAGCGAGCGCAGACGGUUGCUUAAGUCUGAAGUGAAAGCCCACAGCUCAACUGUGGAAUGGCUUUGGAAACUGGGCAACUUGAGUGCAGUAGAGGUAAGUGGAACUCCAUGUGUAGCGGUGGAAUGCGUAGAUAUAUGGAAGAACACCAGUGGCGAAGGCGGCUUACUGGACUGCAACUGACGUUGAGGCUCGAAAGUGUGGGUAGCAAACAGGAUUAGAUACCCUGGUAGUCCACACCGUAAACGAUGGAUACUAGUUGUUAGAGGGUUUCCGCCCUUUAGUGNACAANCAAACGCAUUAAGUAUCCCGCCUGGGGAGUACGACCNCANGGUUGAAACUCAAAGGAAUUGACGGGGACCCNCACAAGCGGUG
rnacentral:rRNA from 1 species